GGAUACUGUAGUAAUUCUAGAGCUAAUACAUGCCACUAUGCCCUGACCCGCAGGGAACGGGUGGAUUUAUUAGAACAGAACCAACCGGGAGCGACUUGUCGUUCCUGUUGCACUCUGUGAUGACUCUGGAUAACUUUACUGAUCGCAGUCGGCCUUGUGUCGGCGACGGAUCUUUCAAAUGUCUGCCCUAUCAACUUUCGAUGGUAGGUGAUCUGCCUACCAUGGUGAUAACGGGUAACGGGGAAUCAGGGUUCGAUUCCGGAGAGGGAGCCUGAGAAACGGCUACCACAUCCAAGGAAGGCAGCAGGCGCGAAAAUUACCCACUCCCGGCACGGGGAGGUAGUGACGAAAAAUACGAAUACGGGACUCACUCGAGGCUCCGUAAUUCGAAUGAGUACAAUCUAAAUCCUUUAACGAGGACCAAUUGGAGGGCAAGUCUGGUGCCAGCAGCCGCGGUAACUCCAGCUCCAAAAGCGUAUAUUAAAGUUGCUGCAGUUAAAAAGCUCGUAGUUGGAUCUGGGUCGCGCGUUCACGUGUCGUUACGUGGUUCUGACUUCGGUUAGUUCUGUGUGAUGAUGAGGUGGUCGCGCAGCCUUUCAGCCGUGUCUGCGUGAGCAGGUGUUGGCUGGUCGGUGGGCUUGCUCGCUGGCUAGUUGGCAUGUUUCCUGAUGCCUUUAAACGGGUGUCGGGGGCGUACGGCACUUUUACUUUGAACAAAUUUGAGUGCUCAAAGCAGGCCCAUGUGCCUGAAAAGUCUUGCAUGGAAUAAUGGAAUAGGACUUCGGUUCUAUUUUGUUGGUUUCCGGAUCCGAAGUAAUGGUUAAGAGGAACAGACGGGGGCAUUUGUAUGGCGGCGUGAGAGGUGAAAUUCUAUGAUCGUCGCCAGACAAACUACAGCGAAAGCAUUUGCCAAGAAUGUUUUCAUUGAUCAGGAGCGAAAGUCAGAGGUUCGAAGACGAUCAGAUACCGUCCUAGUUCUGACCAUAAACGAUGCCAACUGACGAUCCGCGAUGGUGAUCUCAUCCACCCCGCGGGCAGUCCCCGGGAAACCCUUAAGUCUUUGGGCUCCGGGGGAAGUAUGGUUGCAAAGCUGAAACUUAAAGGAAUUGACGGAAGGGCACCACCAGGAGUGGAGCCUGCGGCUUAAUUCGACUCAACACGGGAAAACUCACCCGGCCCGGACACUGUGAGGAUUGACAGAUUGAUAGCUCUUUCAUGAUUCGGUGGUUGGUGGUGCAUGGCCGUUCUUAGUUGGUGGAGCGAUUUGUCUGGUUAAUUCCGAUAACGAACGAGACUUUGACCUACUAAUUAGUAUGCCUAUCCUCUGUGCUCGUGCAGGUCUCGGUUGCAGUUGC
rnacentral:rRNA from 1 species